AGUGAACGCUGGCGGUAGGCCUAACACAUGCAAGUCGAACGAGUGGCGGACGGGUGAGGGAUACAUCGGAAUCUACUCUGUCUUGGGGGAUAACGUAGGGAAACUUAGGCUACUACCGCUUACGAUUCAAUGGGCCGUUGUCGGUUUAGCUAGUUGGUGGGGUAAAGGCCAACAAAGGCGACGAUCCAGAGCUGGUCUGAGAGGAUGAUCGGCAACACUGGAACUGAGACACGGUCCAGACUCCUACGGGAGGCAGCAGUGGGGAAUAUUGGACAAUGGGCGAAAGCCUGAUCCAGCCAUACCGCGUGGGUGAAGAAGGCCUUCGGGUUGUAAAGCUCUUUAAGUUGGGAGGCGUUACCAACAGAAUAAGCACCGGCUAACUUCGUGCCAGCAGCCGCGGUAAUAC
rnacentral:rRNA from 1 species